AUACAGAGGGUGCGAGCGUUAAUCGGAAUUACUGGGCGUAAAGCGCGCGUAGGCGGCUAUGUAAGUCGGAUGUGAAAGCCCCGGGCUUAACCUGGGAAUUGCAUUCGAAACUGCAUGGCUAGAGUCUGAUAGAGGGAAGUGGAAUUUCCGGUGUAGCGGUGAAAUGCGUAGAUAUCGGAAGGAACAUCAGUGGCGAAGGCGGCUUCCUGGAUCAAGACUGACGCUCAGGUGCGAAAGCGUGGGGAGCAAACAGGAUUAGAUACCCGGGUAGUCC
rnacentral:rRNA from 1 species